UACAGAGGUCCCAACCGUUGUUCGGAUUCAUUGGGCGUAAAGGGUGCGUAGGCGGCGGGGCAAGUCAGGUGUGAAAUCUCGGGGCUCAACCCCGAAACUGCACUUGAUACUGCCUUGCUCGAGUACUGGAGAGGAGACUGGAAUUUACGGUGUAGCAGUGAAAUGCGUAGAGAUCCGGAGGAACACCGAAGGCGAAGGCAGUGUCCUGGCGCGUAACUGACGCUGAGGUGCGAAAGCCAGGGGAGCGAACGGG
rnacentral:rRNA from 1 species